AAGAUGCUUAAUGAAUAAUAUAUUCACAAAAACAGAGAACCAAUAUUCUUCCCCUCCUUGUCUGAGGACAAGAUUUCCUUUCAAAGGUAACCUUCUUUAAUGUUCCACAUUAUCAAAAAAUGGUACCGUAUGUAAUUUUUUAUAUCAAUAAGUCCACAGUUGUAUUAAGAAAUAUUUUAUUAACAAAACAGUAAAUUCCACUUGCUUAGCAUUUCCAAUAAUGGAUAAGUUGGCCUUGCAACAGAAAAACAAAAUAAAACAAACCCCUUAGAUACCCAAUCACACAAAGCACUAGAAGGAAAGAUCAUGUGGCCUUUCUUUGAUGUCUUAGGGAUUGGCCACCUCACACGUUUUUGUAGUAGAUGUUUUGUAAAAAGGCAACACAUUACAUGGAUAAAAAAGAAGCAUACUCAAUCAGAAAAGCUACAAUCUAGAGAUGUAAUCAAAUUUAUGCCAGGUAAGUUUAGAAAUAUUUUUACUGGCAAUUUAUUAGAUUAUAUUAUUGCAUUAAAUUUGAAAAUUUGUGCUGGGAAAGAAACAUUAAAGUCAAUUCUAAACAGCAUGCAGUGUAUCUAUACUGCUUAAAAAUACCACUUUUCAAUUUACCAAAUAUUCUUUUAGAAUCUUUCAUGAUGAAACUAGCUCAAAUCCAACAGAUCUAAUGGAAAAACAACCAUUUUUUUUUUAAAAAAACUUAUGCUGUGAAUUAGUGGUUUUAUAUUCCCUUUUUAUUUCACUGGCUUUCCCUGAGUAAGACUGAAUGAGAGGGGUAGGGGGAAAAGACUUGUGAGCUCUUUAACCUGGCAAAUUAAAAAGAGGUAAAAACGUGAAACAGAAGUAACAGAUACCAAAUUUUAUACCAUCUACUUUCUGGGUCAUGAAAAGCCUUUAAGACUUCUUACACAAUUACUUGGCAACUGUAGUUUGUGGUGAUUUGUGAUGAAAUGUAUGUAUUCCUAAGGUACUGUAUGUCUGAAAUCCAGGCCACUUGGCAUUUUUUAUCAACUAAAGUAUCACAAAGAUGUUUUGAAUUUUUUUGCCUUUGCUGAUUAAAGCUAAUUGUAAAGGUAUUCUUUUCUAUGAAGUCUAGUACCAUUUUUUUUAGGAGAUGUUCAAGUAAUGUGACCAAUUUCUACUAAAGCAUCACCUUGCAAUCUAACAGUGUACUUCCUUUGUAUUACCUUCUCAUACUAAUAAUUUAUUGCUAGGAACAUCAUUGAAACUAUGCAAAAAACAAGUAUAUAUCUACUCUUUCCUACUUCUUAAUAUAUGUUAAACUAAAACUAUAUUUAAUGAUUUUAACCAGAAAGUUAAGAUUUAGUCAAUAAUCAAUAAAUAAAGGAUGAUUUUUAAGUGGGUAGUAAUA
rnacentral:lncRNA from 1 species